GAUGAACGCUGGCGGCGUGCCUAAUACAUGCAAGUAGAACGCUGAAGGAGGAGUUUGCUCUUCUGGAUGAGUUGCGAACGGGUGAGUAACGCGUAGGUAACCUGCCUUGUAGCGUGGGAUAACUUUUGGAAACGAUAGCUAAUACCGCAUGACAACACUUACUGCAUGAUAACUGUUUAAAAGUGGCAACUGCUCCACUACCAGUUGGACCUGCGUUGUAUUAGCUAGUUGGUGUGGUAACGGCUCACCAAGGCGACGAUACAUAGCCGACCUGAGAGGGGGGUCGGCCACACUGGGACUGAGACACGGCCCAGACUGCUUCGGGAGGGAGCCGUAGGGAAACGUGGGGAAGGGGCGGAAGACUGACCGAGAAACGCCGCGUGAGUGAAGAAGGUUGUCGGGUCGUAAAGCUCUGUUGUAAGAGAAGAACGAGUGUGAGAGUGGAAAGUUCACUCUGUGACGGUAUCUUAUCAGAAAGGGACGGCUAACUACGUG
rnacentral:rRNA from 1 species